rnacentral:rRNA from 1 species
AGAGUUUGAUCCUGGCUCAGGACGAACGCUGGCGGCGUGCUUAACACAUGCAAGUCGAGCGGAAAGGCCCUUCGGGGUACUCGAGCGGCGAACGGGUGAGUAACACGUGAGCAAUCUGCCCCUAGCUUCGGGAUAGCUCCGGGAAACCGGAAUUAAUACCGAAUACGACCACGGUUGACAUCGGCUGUGGUGGAAAGCUU